GGUGAUUGUCCCAUUGAAAGACUUGCUUGAUACAAUGGUAAGGUAGAACAGACUUGCAGAAGGGACAGGAAUUCAGUUACAUUUUUAUGUUAGCAGUGAUUAGGAGACUCUGAUCAUCUGUGUCAUUGCUUCUUCAUUGGUCUGAGAUGGAUCCUGCAUAUGGGGACUGUCUUUUUCCUUUGGUGAGAAGAAACGUCCACCUUCUCCUCUCUUCCUGGCCAUGGCGUGACGAUGCCGAGAUUCAUGCAAGUA
rnacentral:lncRNA from 1 species